UGUCAAUAAUUGACAAUUUAGACCACUGGUACAAUUCACAAUAGUAAACAAUUCUCGGUGGCAAAAGGGUAAAUGACUUUAGGGAUCUUUCAAAAAGAAAUUGCAUCAAUAAAACUUACAAAGGCAUAAUAGCAUAUCCAAGCCGAAGCUGCCUCCCUAUUUCCCGUCACAUGUAUGCAGCUACACGCCUACACGCCUAGGUUGUGCUGCCAUACUCCUAAUACUUGUCUUGAAGGAUGAAUCGGCAUAAAACCAUGAGCUUGCACAUGUUCUGUCCUGAAAAACAUCAUAUAAUAGUUGAUUAGUUGAUUUAAAGCUUAAUUGGACACGUUGAUUUAGUUUGUCCGAAAGUACACGGCCGCGUGCCUACUGCCUAAUUCCUGCCCUUCUCAUCCGCUCGUUGUUACAGCGCAGAACUGCUGCGAUGCCGCACAACACUGUUGCCGGUCCUCUGCUUGGCGGUCGCCCUGCUGCCGCCGGCUGGCCGUAUGCUGUUGUGCCGCUAGGGUUAGUACUGCCGGUCGAUUGAGAUUUCUACGAUCUGUUUUUGUUUGGGGCCAGCUAAUUAGCGAUAGAAUGGCCGCUUUGAAGCUGCUGUCUUGAAGCUCCCACACCACAAAGCAAAUAUCAAUGCGCAGAGAGAGAGAGAGAGAGAUUUAGAGAGCAGGAGAUGGAUGCUCACGCGGAUCUCCUACCGUCACCUUCAAAUCCGCUGCCGCCGUUUGCCGU
rnacentral:lncRNA from 1 species